ACCAAACAUGCAAUCAAGAUGCAUUGAUAAUUACUGGUGAUUGGAAUGUGAAAGUUGGAAACAAAGAAGAAAGAUUGGUAGUUGGAAAAUAUGGCCUUGGUGACAGAAACGACACUGGAGAUAGCAUGAUAGAAUUUUGCAAGACCAGCUAAUUUGUCAUUGCAAAUAUCUUUUUUUAACAACAUAAACGGUAACUAUACACAUGAACCUCGUCAGAUGGAAUACACAGGAAUCAAAAUGACUAUGUCUGUCGAAAGACAAGAUGGAAAAGCUCAAUAUCAUCAGUCAGAACAAGGCCAGAGACUGACUGUGGAACAGACUAUCAACUGCUCUUAUGCAAGUUUAAGUUGAAGCUGAGGAAAAUUAAAACAAGUCCACAAAAGCCAAAACACCAUCUUGGGUAUAUUCCACCUGAAUUUAGAGACCAUCUCAAGAAUAGAUCUGUUGCAUUGAACUGUAAUGACUGAAUAUCAGAUGAGUUAUGGUCUGAGAUCAAAGAAUCAUAUAGGAAGAAAGUAAAAGGUCAUUAAAAAGACAGGAAAGAAAGAAAAGACCAAAAUAGAUGUCAGAAGAGACUCUGAAAGUUGCUUUUGAAUACAGAGUACUAAAGUGAACUGAAGAAAUGAUGAUGUAAAAGAGAUGAACAGAAAAUUUCAAAGGGCAGCUCGAGAAGACAAAGUAAAGUAUUAUAAUGACAUGUGCAAAGAUCUGGAGUUAGAGAACCAAAAGGGAGGAACAUGCUUGGCAUUUCUCAAGGUAAAAGAACAGAAGAAAAAUUCAAGCCUUGAGUUACAAUAUUGAAAACUGAAAAAUAUUGAAACAACACAGGAAGCAUCAAAAGAAGAUGGAAGGAACACACAGAGUCACUGUACCAAAAGGAAUUGGUUGACAUUCAACCAUUUCAGAAGGCAGCAUAUGAUGAAGAACCAGUGGUACUUAAGGGAGAAGUCCAAGCUGUGCUGAAAGGAAUGACGAAAAAUAAGGCUCAAGGAAUUGACAGAAUACCAUUUGAGAUGUUUCAACAAACCGAUACAGUGCUGGAAGUACUUACUUAUGCCAAGAAAGUUGGAAGACAGCUACCUGGUCAACCUACUGGAAGAGAUUAUUUCAGCCCAUUCCAAAGAAAAGUGAUCCAACAGAAUGCAGAAACUGUUGAACAAUAUCAUUAAUAUAACACAGAAGUAAAAUUUUGCUGAAGAUCACCCAGAACGGGUUGCAGCAGUACAUUGACAGGGAACUGUCAGAAGUUCAAGCCAGAUUCAGAAGAGGAAGUGGAACAAGGGAUAUCACUGCUGAUAUCAGAUGGAUCUUGGUUGAAAGCAGAGUACCAGAAAAAUAUUUACCUGUGUUUUAUUGACUAUGCAAAGACAUUCAGCUCUGUGGAUCUUAACAAAUCAUAAAUGACAUUGUGAAGCAUGGGAAUUCCAGAACACUUAAUUGUGCUCAUGAGGAGCCUGUACCUAGACCAAGAGGCAGUUGUUCAAAUAGAACAAGUGGAUACCAUGUGGUUUAAAGUCAGGAAAGGCGUGAGUUAGACUUGUAUCUUUUUACCUUACUUAUUCAAUCUGUAUGCUGAGCAAAUAACCCGAGAAGCUAGACUAUAUGAAGAAAGUGGCAUUCGGAUUGGAGGAAGAUUCAUUAACAACUUGCAAUAUGCAGAUGACAGAACCUUGCUUGCUGAACACAAAGAGUAAUUGAAGCACUUACUGAUGAAGGUCAAAGACUGCAGCCUUCAGUAUGGAUUACACCUCAACAGAAAGAAAAUGAAAGUCCUCACAACUGGGCCAGUGAGCAACAUCAUGAUAAACAGAGGAAAGAUUGAAGUUGUCAAGGAUUUCAUUUCACUUGGAUUAACAAUCAACACCCAUGGAAGCACCAGUAAGAAAUAAAAAAACGUAUUGCAUUAGACAAAUCUGCUGCAAAAAACCAUCUAGGAUACUCCACUGGUCUUACCCCUUCAGGAGCAAGGAAGAGUGAAGAAAACUAAAGAUACAAGGGAAAGAUUAGUCCAAAGGACUAAUGGACGACAUCUACCCUGGCCUCCACCAGACUGAGUCCAGAACCACGAGAUGGUACCCAGUUACCACCACUGACUGCUCUGACAGGGAUCACAAUAGAGGGUCCCAGACAGAGCUGGAGAAAAAUGUAGAACAAAAUUCUAACUCAAAAAGAAAGACAAGAUUUUCUAGCCUGACAGAGACAGGAGAAACCCUGACAAUAUGGUCCCCUGACACCCUUUCACUCAGUAAUGAGGUCACUCCUGAGGUUCACCCUUCAGCCAAAGAUUGAACAGGCCCAUGAAGCAAAGGAAGACUGAAGGGAUGCAUCAGCCCUGGGGCAGGGAGUGGAAGGCAGGAGGGUACAGGAAAGCUGGUAAUGGGGAACCCAGGGCUGAGAGGGGAGAGUGUUGACAUGCUGUGGAAUUGUUAACCAAUGUCACAGAACAAUGUGUGUACUGACUGAAGAGAAACUAGUUUGUUCUGUAAACCUUCAUCUUAAGUACAACUUAAAAAAAAUGAAAAAAUAAAAAUUAAGAAAAAAAAUCUGCUGCAAAAGACCUCUUUAAAGUGUUAAAAAACAAAUAUGUCACUUUGAAGACUAAGAUGUCCCUGACCCAAGCCAUGAUAUUUUCAAUCACCUCAUAUGCAUGGAAAAGCUGGAUAAUGUAUAAGAAUUGACACAUUUGAAUUAUGAAUUUGAAUAUACCAUGGACUGCCAAAAGAAUGAAAAUAUCUGUCUUGGAAGUACAGCCAGAAUGCUUUUUAGAAGCAAGGAUGGCAAGACUUUGUCUCAUGUGCUUUGGACAUGUUAUCAGGAAGAAUGUCAGUCCCUGGAGAAAAACAUCAUGUUUAGUAAAGUAGAAGAUCAAUAAAAAAGAGGAAGUCCCUCAAGGAGAUGGAUUGACACUGUGGCUGUAAUAAUGAGCUCAAGUGUAACAACCAUUGUGAGGAUGGUGCAGGACUGGGCUGUGUUUUGUUCUGUCGUACUCAGGGUCAUUACGAGUCGUAACUGACUCAACAGCACCUAACAGCAACAACAAUUCAGUGGUUGUUGUUAGGAGCUGUUGCGUCAGUUCUGACUCAUAGUGAUCUUAUGUAACAGAACAAAAUGUACCCGGUCCCGGGCCAUUCGCACAGUCAUUGUUCUGUUUGAGCUCAUUGUUGCAGCCACUGUGUCAAUCCAUCAUUGAAGGUAUUCCUCUUUCUCUCUGACUCACAGCUUUACCAAGCAUGAUGUCCUUCUCCAGCUUGAUAUCUUUCAAAGAUCUGGAUCCUGCAGCUGGCUCCUGUUCAUCUGACCUCAGGUUCUUGGGACUUGAGCUCGAAGCUUACUUGCUGGUCUUGGUAUUCAUCAGCCUCCACAGCCUGUGAGCCAGAGGCUUGCUGUCGGACCUGCUGCCCUUGGGUUGACUAGCCCUUGCAGCUACAUGAGUCAGAAGAAGCCUCCAUCCUGACUCACAGACUUGGGACUUCCCAGCCUCUACAACUGCGACUAGCAAAUAAGUUUCAAACCACUUGGCGACUCUUACUAAUUGGUGAUGACAGCUGGGACUGCCAGGAUGAGAAAGAUUCUGAAGUUGAACCUCUGCGCAAAGCAAAGGAGUGCUCGGUGAUGUUUGCCAUGGGAAUGUGAGCAGGGAGUGGCAGCACCUAUUUCUUCAUAUUUGCUGUCCUAUAGUUAAACAUGUUUGCUGUCCUGGAGGUAAAUCUGCAACCUUCGGACAGCAAACAACCAGGCUGAGCAACCAUGAACCAUGAACCUUCCCACCACUGAUGCCAAGGUGGGGAUACCAUUGGAAGGGGCCUUACUGAAGGCGUUUCUGCCCCCAGAGACAGUGAAGAGCUCAACUUCUUGGAGAAACAGACUACAGACCACAUGGAGCCCAGGACUCAACCAGCAAGUGAUUGCUGAAAUUAUGAGCGAUCUGGUCCUGGCACCAUGAAGACGGACGGCAGGACCAAUGGACUUCAAAUGCUUGGAGUGGUCUGUGGGACGGGGCUAAAUGGAGCAUGGCAUAGGCAUGGCACAGGGCUCUGUGUCUCCUAUUGGCAGAGUCUCACAGGGAGUCAGCCGGCACGAAGGUCUUCGAACUGCGGUUUGCAAAGUACCAGCAUCUCAGAGAAGAGUUCUGAAGGUUGGGCUUGGAGAUGACAGAUGAGAGGAGAAGCUGGUCCUUCCAUUACUGAGCUGAACGCGGAUCUGGCUGAGAAGUUGGAGAAGCUGAAGGAGGAUCCAGUCAAAGGUGAAGCAGUCGCAGGCCCAGCCACCAUUCUUUCCAAACUUCACAUUUACCUUCCAAAUCUCAUGUGAAAAUAUCUCCUGUGACCCAAUUAAAUAACACAGGAAAGGGGAUUCUGAGACAGUGAGUUCAGCCUCCUCAAGCUAAUACCUUUCAAAACCACUGGAAUAACUGUCCUUGUAGAGUGGCCCCUGAACAGAGUCGGGGGGCUGUAAGCAAGGCGGGGGGCCGUGGUGGUUCAGUAGAAGAAUUCUCAAUUUCCAUGCAGGAGAACCCUGGUUCAGUUCCCGGCCAACACGCCUCAUGUGCUGCUGCUGACCCGCAUGUCAGUGGAGGCUUGCGUGUUGCGAGGAUGUGGAACAGGUUUCAGCAAAGCUUCUAGACUAUGACAGACUAAGACAAAAGGUCUGGCGAUCUACUUCUGAAAAUCAGCCAGAGAAAACCCUAUGGAGCACCACCGUCUGAUCCGCAACUGACCACGGGGAUGGUGCUGGACUGGGCAGCUUCUUUCUCCAUUGUGCGUGGGGCUGCCAUGAGUCAGAGCGCUGACUUGACUCUACGCAACUAACAAGAAGGAGCAAGGAAGGAGAGAACAGAUCUGUGGGGGGCAACCCCUAAGCGUCUGUUCUGUAAGUUUUCUGCUGCCUCAUCCUGAGUUACAAUUUUAGGAGUGGUUUGUGUGUAUAAAAUAUGCAUGAAGGUGGGGUAUAACAACACUGCGUAAGUCAAGCGCUGCCUCUCUUUCUCUUUUUUUCUUCUAAAGGAUAACUGGCCCUCCAGGCAUAUCAUAGGCCAAGCCCUGGCAGAAAAGGCUAAAGAAAAUAAACUCAUGCCUUCAGCACGUAGAGGAGCGCCUGCUCUCCCUCUGAGUCACCUCCACACGGCUUACUUCCCCUGCUUAGUGUUUCUUUUCCCACUUCCUGUUCUGGUUCUGUAAGCAGCAUGGAGCACCGACUCCGUGCCGGUGCAGGGGAGACAAGAUGAGAAUGAAAUGAAUCCAAGUUCCCACUCCUUUCUCCACCCUCAACCCCAUACCUCCAGAAACCUCCCCAGAUGCAGGAUAAGUCACCGCAAGAACUCCAGCAAAAUCCCGCAGCCUGCACAAACAUCUCCGCACGGCUGUUCGGGCUUUCGCAGGUUCUACUCUACAACCAAGACCCAGGACUUUGGGGGCAGGGAGACCAUCUAUUCUUCAUCAUUCCCGCCCCAGGAAAUAAAUCUUUGUCUAUCUCAGAGUUGUGUUCUCAAUCCUCUCUUGAGAGUACUUUCCAGUGGUGUGAGAGAGGAAAAUGAGGUGAAGCAUAGCCAGGAGUGAAGUGGGUGCUAUAGGCAGAGAAAUGGGAGGGGGCACCGCUUUUACUCGGCCAGCUCUGGAGCCAAGACGCUAAAGAUAGAUACAUCAGAUGCUCAGCACCAGGCAGACUCAGACACUGGGAAAAGGGACUAGACCAAUAACGGGCUAAGACAAGGGCCCCAGUCCUUGGGCACUGCCCACUGAGCCCCCCAUAGCCCUUGGCCCGGCUGCCCCUGCAAUGCCUCCAGAACAGUCACUGAGCAUCAGAGGCCCCUACCUCUCUGCUCCUUCCUCCCCUGCCCAUAUUCAGAAAGCCUCCUGGUCUGACAAUGACCUAAAGCAGGACAGACACCCCUCUCUGCAGAGGGAAGCUCCUUAUAUAGCCACAGAUCCCCUUUAAGGACUGUCUGCAUUUCUCUGCCUUGAUAAGUCCCCACUCUGGCCUGCAGGUGAGAACCUUCUUUGCAAAUCCUUGGCAACAGCUGUUCUUAUUCCUUAUCUCCUCUCCUUAUUUUUUCAGGCCCCUGAAAUGUACCUAAAAGGAUUUGCUGCUCUACUUGAGCCUUUAUGGCUUUGCUGUUUCUGUCAGCCCCGCUGCUCUGGGCCUGUGUUAAAUGUAAAUAUCUUUAGACAGAAAUCUAUGGAGAUUAAGGGGGAGAAAAUGGGUGCUAGCCUGUCAUCUCCUGGAAAGGAAGUUGGAAAAUCCCCCUCCCCGGCACCUCCAACCUGCAAACCUCUGACAUUUCUAAAGUUUUCUUCACCGGCUACAUCACACCGCUCACCGCUCUGGAUUUGUGUUUUGUUUAUUAUCCCAUUAAAUUACAGACCCCCUUAAGACAGAAAAAGAAAUGGAGAACAAAGAAAGUUAAGGCCUCUUAAAGUACUUUUAUGGAGGCUUUUCUUGAACUUUACAAACGGAGUUAAAAAAGAAGUGUGAAAGGAUUUUUCAAGGCAGGAACAUGCUUUUGCAAUUUGCUGGAAGUCUUCCCUUAUGUUCCAGAAAAGCAGCCUCCCCAUUACUCACCAGGGAGGCACGUAGGCCAGGGAGGAAGGGGGAUCGGCGAAUGAAAACAGGCCUUCCCCCGUCCAUGUGCAAACAGCACUUAAUAAUCAAAUUGAAAAAACACACAAAUGAAAUUAAAACGUUUUCCAAAUGGGUUGCAGCCCUGAGGCCAGACUUCAUGGGGCCACGCCGGGCACAUUUGUAUCUUUGCCUUAAUUGGGCUCCAGGCAAAGCAGCUAUUGGGAAAGCCAGAUUCUGGUGUCAGGAAGAGGGUAGGGCACAGACCGCCACUGGAGCAGAGAGGAUGGUGGGGGAUCGGCCCCUGGCCCCUCUGUUAUCUGCUCUCCCUGAAGCUAUCGUCCAUCUCCUGGGAUCCUCUUUAGGUUUAUAAACCUGCUCCUGCUCAGACCUCUCCCACAGGACAGCGAACCCUCUCUGACCCUUAUCUGCAUUCAGUCACUCCCUCCCUCGUUCAGUCCCAUCCUUACACUGACCUGCUGUUAUUUCUCCAAUCCUAAAACAAAAACAGAAAAAAAAAAAAAAAAAAAAACAGUCAACAACGUCUCCUGACUCUACCUCUUCUUUGCCCCCGGCCCCAUCUUUCUGCUCCCCACUUCAAUUGCCUGUUCUCACUCCUUACUUUCUACCUAAUUCUCCUAAGGUCCUUGAGUAGACAAACAAUUAAUGAGCUCAGUUGCUAACCAAUAGGUAGGCGGUUUGAGUCCACCCAGACGCACCUCUGAAGAAAGUCCUGUCUACUGCCUAAAAAAUCAGCCAUUGAAAACCCCACGAAGCACAGUUCUACUCUAACACAUGGGGUCGCCAUGAGUAGGAAUUGACUCAACGGCAGCUGGUUUGGUUUUGGUUCUCAGUCUCUCCUAAACUCCAUUUUGGAGGCCAUGGGUGGUGCAAAUGGUUAAGCACUGGACUACGGAAAGGUUGGCAGUUUGAAUCCACUCAAAGGCUUCUCGGAAGACAGGCCUGGGAAAGCCUAUGGAGCAGUUCUACUCCACACACGAGGUUGCCGUGAGUCAGAAUCAAAUCGACAGCAGCUAACAACAAUAACAUGGUUGCACAACACUGUGAAUAUCAUUAAUACCACUAAAUUAAACACUUGAAAAUGGUUAAAAUGACACAUUUUUGGUUAUAUAUAUAUAUUUCAUCACCAAAAAGACAAACAAAAACUCCUGACACACUCUGGACUCAGAGUGGGCUGGAAUACACCACUUGAACUUUAUUAGGAAGUGACUGGAAUUUCUUCAAAAGUAUGUGUGUGUACACAGGGACACAUGUAUGGUUCUCGGGUUAGGGAAGGGGGUGGGCCCCUGUGUUUCUCCCCUCUCAAAUGUAAGCAAACACCUGGAUUCCUCCAGUGUGGAAAAUGGAAGAUCUAUUAAGUAAAUGAACGAAUGGAUGAACAAGAUGGAAUAUUAUUAAGUAAAUGAACGAACGGAUGAAUAAAUGGCUACCAUGCACUGGACACCCUCGUGGCGUAGUGGUUAAGUGCUACAGCUGCUAACCAAAGGGUCAGCAGUUCAAAUCCUCCAGGCGCUCCUUAGAAACUCUGUGGGGCAGUUCCACUCUGUCCUACAGGGUCGCUAUGAGUUGGAAUCGACUGGGUUUGGUUUUUUGGUUUUAUGCACUGGACACAUCACCCGGGGUGGAUGAGAGAGGCUCUUUCCUUUCCGAGAGCAAGAAAAGGGCCCAGAGCACGCACUGGGCUAUUUGGAAGGAAAGGUAGAGCCGGUGGGCAGGGAGUGAAGCCAGGACGAUGAGGAGGAGGAGGUGGGUGGCUGGGGAACUGAAGAUGGUCUUUAGGUUUCCUUUGGCUCUCCCCUAUUAAAUUCAUUGCCUCUCGAAGACAGUGGCUCUUAGAAAAACUAAGAAAAAUGCUUUUAGAUUCUGACAUGAGAGCUCAUUCCAACUCUUAAGUUCACUCUCUUCCCCAGGUCCUCAGCUUUGGGCACAAGUAGAAAGGAAUGAGUAUGCCAGGUGGAAGGUAUCAAAGAGACCAGCUGGCUGGAGUCUUCCCAUCAGGACUGUGUAGGUAGAUGAGUGACAGAGUGAAAAAGGGUUGCAUUUCAGAACGUUUGACCAGGUGAGUUACCUCCUCAGUGACCCCAACAAACUAAGAACCCUGUGGCAACCAGAAAGUAUGUCUAAGGUCAGAUCUCCAUGUUGGGUCUUUUCCCUGGAACCAGCGGACAGUAAAAGCCAGUGCUGAUGAAUAAAAUUCCAUGAGUCCCCACAGAGGUUGGACCUGAAGAUUUCAGAAGAAGUCUUCAAGCUAUUUGUUCUCAAAUAUUUAUGGAGCUCUUAUAGUGGACUAGAUAUGAUGUCAGGAGGAGAAAGAUGAACGCUGUAAGCUCCCUUUUUGCUAAAUUGUAGUUUAAUAAGAAAGAUAGACAAUGAGACAAAUAGUUGUCAAUCAAUGCGGUAAGAACUAUAAGAGAGUGGUGCUGAAGAAGUCCUUGGGUGAGGCAAAUGGUUAAGCACUUACUCCUAACUGAAAGGUUAGUGGUUCGAACCCACCCAAAGGUGCUUCGGAAGAAAGGCCUGGCAAUCUAUUCUGAAAGAUCACCCUACAGAGUGCCAUUCUACUCUGUAGCACAUGGGGUCGCCAUGAGUCAGAACUGAGUUAAAAGCCACAAUUCUUUUUUUUUUUUGUAUAGGAGGGCAUGGCUACCUCUCUUUGAUUAAAUUAGGAAAGGAAAUUUGAGAUAAGUCUUGAAGUUCUUCAGAAAGAGAGGUGGAGAAUGUCUCUGGACUGAACCCCCAGCCAGAGAGAACAUGUGAAAAAGACACAGGGCUAAGAAAGACUGUUGUAUAUUCAGAUAGAGAUGAACAUAUUGGUGUGGCUGAAACUUCAGGUGUGGAUGGAGGAGUGAGGAGGGACAGCCAAGGUCAACUUAGUACAGGUAAUGAAAAGUUUCGUACCUGUAGAGGUAGGACUUCAUCUUGGCAUAACGGAGAGGUAGCAGAGAUUUAAAGCAGGAGAAAAAACAAACAAACCAAAAAAACAUGAUGUUUUAGUAAGAUUUUAGGCUGCAGAGAAGAAGAGGUGGGAGGCCCAUUAGAAGGUUACUGAAAUAGACCACAGGAGAUCUGAUGAGAGCUAGAACUUGCCCAUCGCCAUGGAGAUGAAGAGGAGACAAGAACAUCAAGUGUCCGUGGAAUUGACUGUGAAGUUGAGGGAGAGUGGGAAGCUGAGGAUAAGUCUGAGGUUUCUGGUUUGGGGGACUAAGCCAUCAGUGGAACCAGCCACUACUUUAAGGAUUUCGGAAAGAAGUGUGUGUUUUGUGGGAAAGAAAGUAAAUGUCAUCUGAGAAAUAUUUAAGUUUAAAGUGCACUUGUAUUGAGUGCUACUAGACUGUGUAACGUCCUUUGUUUAUCUAGAUUUUUGCACUUUGUUCUUGCUCAUGUUUCUAAAGCUAGGUUUUUCUAGUCAUUAAUUCAUUCUGGUGCAUUCAUUCAUUCAACAAGCAUUUAUUAAGCACAUUUUCAUUGCUUCUGGCAUUUAUUUAAUCCUCACUACUCACCCCCACCUCCAAGCCCAAGAAAAAGCAGUAAAUCUGGGCACGGAAUCUGAGUCUUCUGCUGUUUAGCUCAGGUUUUUUUUCACAAUACAAUGGCUAAAGAAAGACAGUGAAGUGUAUAACAAGCUUCUCUCUAUACUUGUGUCUUAUUUAAAUUCUCACAACACUGUGAGAUACCCAAAAACCAAACCCGUUGUCAUCAAGUUGAUUCCAACACAUAGCAACCUUAUAGGACAGGGUAGAACUGUUCAUAAGGUUUCCAAGGCGAGGCUGGUGGAUUUGAUCUGCUGACCUUUUGGUUAGCAGCCUGAGCUCUUAACCACUACACCACCAUGAGAUAAGUAUUGUCAUUGUUUUUUAGUGUGGAGUGGGAGGGAAGGAUUACAAAAGCGUAUCAGGAAACUUUUCAGGAGAAUGGAUAUGUUCCUUCUGAUUGUGACAAUGGUUUGACAGGUAUGUCAAGAUGUCAAAACUUACCAAAUCUAUGCUUUAAGCUUGUGCAAUUCAUUGCAUCAUUGCAUGUCAAUUAUACCUCAAUAAAGCUGUUUUUGAAAAAGUGUGGGGCAACAACAACAACAAAAUUAACUUGGAAUAUGUUGCCAUUUGCUAAGAUAGGAGUAAGUUACAAGGUGAGGUGAAAUCAGUAAUUCAGUUUUGGAGAACUAGCAAACAGAAAGCUUACGUUUCC